GGUAACGUGCCCUUUGGUUCGGUUACAACUCCGUGGUAAUACUGGAGCUAAUACCGGAUAAGCCCUUCGGUGGGAAAGAUUUAUCGCCAAAGGAUCGGCCCGCGUCUGAUUAGCUUGUUGGUGAGGUAAUGGCUCACCAAGGCGACGAUCAGUAGCUGGUCUGAGAGGAUGAUCAGCCACACUGGGACUGAGACACGGCCCAUACUCCUACGGGAGGCAGCAGUGGGGAAUACUUGGACAAUGGGCGCAAGCCUGAUCCAGCCAUGCCGCGUGAGUGAUGAAGGCCCUAGGGUUGUAAAGCUCUUUCGGCGAGGACGAUAAUGACGGUACCCGCAGAAGAAGCCCCGGCUAACUUCGUGCC
rnacentral:rRNA from 1 species